AAAAAAUUGCCAGCGUUUCUAAAAACCUGUUUCAGCUUUGUGUCGUUGUGGGGUACUGUGUCGUUGUGGGGUACUGUGUCGUUGUGGGGUACAGUGUCGUUGUGGGGUACUGUGUCGUUGUGGGGUACAGUGUCGUUGUGGGGUACAGUGUCGUUGUGGGGUACAGUGUCGUUGUGGGGUACAGUGUCGUUGUGGGGUACAGUGUCGUUGUGGGGUACAGUGUCGUUGUGGGGUAUUGUGGGGUACAGUGGCAUUGUGGGGUACAGUGGCAUUGUGGGGUACAGUGGCGUUGUGUAGUGUCGUAGUGGGGUACAGUGUCGUUGUACAGUGUCGUUGUGGGGUAUUGUGUCGUUGUGGGGUAUUGUGUCGUUGUGGGGUACAGUGUCGUUGUGGGGUACAGUGUCGUUGUGGGGUACAGUGUCGUUGUGGGGUAUUGUGUCGUUGUGGGGUAUAGUGGGGUAUAGUGUCGUUGUGGGGUAUAGUGUCGUUGUGGGGUAUUGUGUCGUUGUGGGGUAUAGUGGGGUAUAGUGUCGUUGUGUGGGGUAUAGUGUCGUUGUGGGGUACAGUGUCGUUGUGGGGUACAGUGGCGUUGUGGGGU
ensembl:lncRNA